AGAUGUUCUCGGCCUUUUGGCUAAGAUCAAGUGUAGUAUCUGUUGUUAUCAGUUUAAUAUCUGAUACAUUCUCUAUCAGAGAACUUCAUAUUAAACGCAUUUUUAGAACAGGGAGACGGCAGAGGGGCUUGCUCCGGCCGCUCCACGAUUUUGACCGAAGUGUCGCCGGUUUGAUUCCUAGGACCGACAUCC